rnacentral:lncRNA from 1 species
AUGGGGUCCCCCCCAACUCUACGGGAUGCACCUCACUGGGCCCUCAGGGCCGCAAGGCAAGCCUGUGACAUCUCCCUAAUUCGCUCCCCCUCAGGCCUCCCCCUUCUUAUCAGCCGCUUCCUAGCGCAGCACCCCACCUGUUUGCUUCUCUCCCUGCCUCACCCCUGGCUCAGACCUCGCCAGACAACCCCACGGCGGCCCACCCCUCCAACACCACCCUUGUGUGGUCCCCCGGGGCACCCACAAACAAGUGGGGGGCUCUCCCAUGCUCACACGCCCUCACCUGGACCUUCCGUCUACACCAGGCGCCUCCCCCUGCUCUCCCCAGGUCACCAAGCACUGCACUGGUGCCGGGGCGCUGUCCAGCCUCCCUGGAACACACGUUCGGGCUGGGUUUUCAGGACCCCUGGGUCUCCUCAGGCUCUGCUGCUGCUCUGCCUCCACAGGUGCCGUUAUCUGGCUGUGGCCCGCCUGCCCUUCCAUUCGCUGGGUCACUUGGGGAGCUCAUCAGCUCCCCUGGGUCUCCUGUCCUCACUGCGGAGCCCCCCCAGCUCCGGCUGCCACCUCCGAGCAGCUUCUGCUCUCUCCCCUUCCUCGGCCCUGGCAGACCUCACCCUUCCUGUCCAGUCUGUCUGCCUGACAUCCCUGAAGGGAUCACCCGGCUGCGUCCACUGCCCCCUCCGGAUCCCUGGGAGCUCCAGGCUGCCAGGGCCUCCCUGUCCUCCCAGGACCAACCAGAAGGUCUUCUUUGGUCCCUCGAGGCCAUCCUGCACGCUGUGGUCCUCUGGCGCUGCCCUCCCCGCCGGUGAUUUCCGGGGCCCGGCCACUGUCCGGCGUCCCCUAGCCUGGACCUCUGUCUCUCCACAUCCCCCCUCCUGGCACCCCGAAGCCUCUCGGGCCUCAUCACUCCCUUCACCGGCUCUCCAGUUUGCGCUGGGCCCCACAUUAGGCUGCGGGGAGCAGAGGCGGCUUUACUCUGCUGGUAGGCCCGUGCUGGGCGCACCAGAGGCUGGCGCUGGUGCUGACGGGCUCAUCCUGGAGGCUCGGCAGGAAGAUCUAGGCUUCCACACUCCCUGCUGGGGGAUACAGGGAAGCUGCAGAGGCUCCCUGGAGUGGGAGGGGCUGAUUCCUGACAGAGACUGA